GCGGCAGGCCUUACACAUGCAAGUCGAGCGAGAAAUUUUCUUCGGGAAAGAGUAAAGCGGCGGACGGGUGAGUAACGCGUAGGAAUCUACCUAGUAGUGGGGGACAACAUGUGGAAACGCAUGCUAAUACCGCAUACGCCCUAUGGGGGAAAGCAGGGGAUCUUCGGACCUUGUGCUAUUAGAUGAGCCUGCGUCGGAUUAGUUUGUUGGUAGGGUAAUGGCCUACCAAGACUACGAUCCGUAGCUGGUCUGAGAGGAUGAUCAGCCACAUUGGGACUGAGACACGGCCCAAACUCCUACGGGAGGCAGCAGUGGGGAAUCUUGCACAAUGGAGGAAACUCUGAUGCAGCGAUGCCGCGUGAGUGAAGAAGGCCCUUGGGUUGUAAAGCUCUUUCGUCGGGGAAGAAAAUGACUGUACCCGAAUAAGAAGGUCCGGC
rnacentral:rRNA from 1 species